GAUGAACGCUGGCGGCGUGCCUAAUACAUGCAAGUAGAACGCUGAAGGAGGAGCUUGCUCUUCUGGAUGAGUUGCGAACGGGUGAGUAACGCGUAGGUAACCUGCCUGGUAGCGGGGGAUAACUAUUGGAAACGAUAGCUAAUACCGCAUGACAACAGUUAUUGCAUGAUAACUGUUUAAAAGGGGCAACUGCUCCACUACCAGAUGGAACUGCGUUUUAUUAGCUAGUUGGGGAGGUAACGGCUCACCAAGGCGACGAUACAUAGCCGACCUGAGAGGGGGAUCGGCCACGCUGGGACUGAGACACGGCCCAGGCUCCUACGGGUGGCAGCAGUAGGGGAUCUUCGGCAAUGGACGGAAGUCUGACCGAGCAACGCCGCGUGAGUGAAGAAGGUUUUCGGAUCGUAAAGCUCUGUUGUAAGAGAAGAACGAGUGUGGGAGUGGAAAGUUCACUCUGUGACGGUAUCUUACCAGAAAGGGACGGCUAACUACGUG
rnacentral:rRNA from 1 species